rnacentral:rRNA from 1 species
CCUACGGGAGGCAGCAGUGAGGAAUAUUGGUCAAUGGACGAGAGUCUGAACCAGCCAAGUAGCGUGAAGGAUGACUGCCCUAUGGGUUGUAAACUUCUUUUAUAUGGGAAUAAAAUGUUCCACGUGUGGGAUUUUGUAUGUACCAUAUGAAUAAGGAUCGGCUAACUCCGUUACAGCAGCCGCGGUAAUACGGAGGAUCCGAGUGUUAUCCGGAUGUAUUGGGUUUAAAGGGAGCGUAGGUGGAUUGUUAAGUCAGUUGUGAAAGUUUGCGGCUCAACUGUAAAAUUGCAGUUGAAGCUGGCAGUCUUGAGUACAGUAGAGGUGGGCGGAAUUCGUGGUGGAGCGGUGAAAUGCUUAGAUAUCACGAAGAAGUCCGAUUGCGAAGGCAGCUCACUGGACUGCAACUGACAGUGAGGCUCGAAAGUGUGGGUAUCAAACAGGAUUAGAUACCAGUC